UCAGUUAUAGUUUGUUUGAUGGUAUCUAUAAUUCGGAUAACCGUAGUAAUUCUAGAGCUAAUACUUGCAACAAACCGCGACUUUUGGAAGGGAUGCAUUUAUUAGAUAAAAGGUCGACGCGGGCUCUGCCCGUUACUGCGAUGAUUCAUGAUAACUCGACGGAUCGCACGGGCAUCGUGCCGGCGAUGCAUCAUUCAAAUUUCUGC
rnacentral:ncRNA from 1 species